AUACCCCUCUGUCUCUUGAAACAAGUCGGUUUGUAUUCAGAGUCCAUGAAAGUCUGCUCCAGCAUUUGAAUAACGUAAAUACUUGUUGUUUUGUUUGCAACAUAUCGACCAUGUUGUCACGAUUUAGUUUUAUUAUUGACAACAUCAUAAAAAACAGAAGCAUUCAGUGCAAUUCAAGUCGAGACGCGCAGUAUUUAGCUCUGACUGUACUUCAAGAAUAUGCAACACUCCAAGCUUCUGUUAUUCUACGACUUAACAAUCAAUACCAUGGAUCAAAGUCUCCCACAUUGAGAUUCAAGGCUAAGUUGAUCUUAUUGAUUUCCAUAGACUAUUCACUUCAUCUUUUUCAUCCCAAUCAUCACUCCUCUCCACGCUUAUCUGGCCGUUUUUUCCCUACUCUGUGGCUUUGACAGUGCUCCUCACGGAUAAUCCCCUCUGUGGUUAUCAAAUUUGCGUUUUUUAAUGACAGGGAAAAAGUGGGUGUGACGCAAGGCAUGUGUUUGAAUAUACUGUCCUGCAUGUGCACCUAUAUUUUAUUUGUAUCUUAAUAUUACGUUAAAUGAUUGUGUAGGAGGUGUAGUCGUUAUCAGCAAGCCAAUAAUACAUCAAUGGUUACGUAAAGUGGGAAUCUGUCUAUAUUCAUAAAUAGUCAUGCAAAACUCCCGCAUACAUUCUUAGAAGACACAUUUUGUUGUUAUAAAUGCAGGCAUUUUUGGUCCCAAAAAUCCAUAAAAGUAGGAAUAAACAAUAUGUUGUGUUGCAUUAUGCAGUAAUAGCAAGUGUUGAACUCUAAACUAAACCACAUUCAACUGGGACCUUUCCUGUGUCUCAAUAAAUAGUCCAGGGUUGUCCAAAGUGUGGCCCAAGGGCCAUUUGUGGCCCACCGCACAUUUUAAAAAUACAAUUUAACAAGAAAACAAAAACAAUAACCAUAAUAAUUAUAAAUAAUAAUUGAAUAAGGUUGCGGAAAAUGUCGUGUUUUGAGAAAGUCAAAAUAUUAUGGGGAAAAAGUCAUAAUUACCAGAAGAAAAUGUACAAGAAGAAAGCUGAAAUAGUUGAGAAACAAAAAAAAAACAGCAUUCAAAAUAUGAACAGAAAAAAGUGAUGAUGAAAACGUUGCAUUCUAACGAGAAAAAAAGUCGCUAUUUUAUGAAAACAAGCUUACAUUAUGAGGAAAAAUAAUGCCAUUUUAGUAGCACAGAGUUGAAAUAUAAAAAAAAAAAUCUAUUUUUUUAAGGCAUCAUAUUAUGAGCGUUUGCAUGUUCUCCCCGUGCGUGCGUGGGUUCUCUCCGGGUGCUCCGGUUUCCUCCCACGUUCCAAAAACAUGCAUGUUAGGUUAAUUAGCAACUCUAAAUUGUCCAUAGGUAUGAAUGUGAGCGUGAAUGAUUGUUUGUCUAUAUGUGCCCUACGAUUGGCUGGUGACCAGCCCAGGGUGUACCCCGCCCCUUGCCCGAAUCAGCCGGGAUAGGCUCCAGCAUUCCCAUGCGACCCUAAUGAGGAGAAGUGGCAUAGGACAUGGUUGGAUGGAUAAUAUUAUGUGAAACAAAAAUAUUAAAGGUAAAUUUUGGUAAAUUAGGUUGGGGAAAAUAUAAUAGUAUAGGAAUAAAGUCAAGAUAUUAUAGUCGUAAUAGUACAAAAAGAACAUUUGCAAAAGUUAUUUAAGAAGGAAGUUGAAAUAUUUGGAAAAUAAAAAAAAAAACAGCAAAAAUGUGGGGAAAAAAAGCAAUUCAUACUAAUAUACGCUUUUUCACCUGUAUCACAGUUUUUUUUCUUGAAAUAUGGCCCUUGCAUACUUUCAUUUUUCUGUAUUUGGUCCUCAGCGGAAAAAGUUUGGACACCCCUGAAAUAGUCAUGAAAAAAUUUGGACCGACACUCAACUAAAAUAAUGUUCUGCUAUCAUCAAGUAAGACAAGUUAGUUUUAAUAAAUUCAUAGAUGAGAAUGCAAUUAAAUCGCUGGCAAUGAAACCAUUUCGAAAGCUGCACAUUUCUGUCUGGCACAAACAUCCAUUUUAGAACAAAGUCAAGUAAAGUCUGGACUAAUACGAUCGGGAAAUUAUAAAGUGGGCUGACUCAGCACUGUUUUGCCGCAGCUACAUGCCAGCUGCGUGUGAUUCGGAGUGAUUCAUUCAGUCUUUGCAAAUCACAUAUUUACAAUCCAAAGGCAAAACUUGGAAAUAAAUCAUUUACAGACAAAAACUAUACCAACGUGAACCAAUAUCAACAUCCCUAAUUUUGAAUGCACCACCAUAUUUACAAGUAUAGCACUUUCUUAUUGUAUAAAGUCUCUAUGUGAGCUUCCACAACGCUCAUGUGCUCCUUUAUUCGCAGCUCCACUUUGUCUUCCACAUUCAUUUGUGCCUUUUCGCCCUCUAAAUGUUUCAUGACAUUUUAGUAGGUUUUUUUUUUUUUUUCGCAAAGCCAUGUACUUAUUACAUUUAUGCCCCUUAGCAUACUCAGCCUUUCUACUCAUGAAAUCAAUUAAUUCUCUUCAAUAAUUUACCUUCCGAGCACACCAGAUUAAGUAAAGCGCAUUUUUUUUUUUGUGCUGUUGUAACCAAUGUAUAUUCUCUUGGUGUGCCGGCAUUAACGUUGGCCUUACCCUUCGACUCGGAGGAGUCUUGGGUGAUUAGAGAAAGAGCGAGAGUCUUGAUAGAGCAUUGCUGAGUGACACACAUACACACAGACACACACACACACACAGCCUGAAGACCCCUCUGUGCAUUUGCACACAUUCAUUUUUCAUGAAACAGACUCAUAACAAUUAGUCUGGUUACCGCCUGGGUAGUCUUAACAUUCUGACAUCACUCUUUUAAAAGUUCUGAAAUUGACGUCCUUAUUCGUUUUCACAGUGAGGACAUUAGCUCUUCUUGGCCAAAGAAGGGCAAUAAAGUGGACGGGGGCGACGGAGUAGAGUGCUCAGGAAACAGGUAUGGAACACGAGGGCAGCCAGGUAGGAGGAUCUCUUUCAGAAACCGCUUCUGACCAGCUGAUCCCAGUCCUGCGCAUCAGCCAGCUGGAUGCUCUCGAGCUCGACUCAGCCCUGGAGCAGCUCCUGUGGACCCAGUUCUCCCAGUGCUUCCAGAGCUUCCGCCCGGGCCUUCUGACACCUCUGGAGCCCGAACUGAAAGCUUUGCUCCAGCUGCUCCUGUGGAGGUUCACUCUGUAUCCUGACAGCACCACAGUGGGCCAGUCUAUACUGAGCCUCCGCCACCACAACGUCUCGUCCUCAUCCGCGCGCUACAAGCCUCUUUCCCGGAGGCAGAAAUUGGCUCUGGUUCUGCUAACAGCGGGGCCUCGUUGGCUCCAAGAGCGCUCCCACAGCCUUCGUCGGUGCCUCGGUUUGACCUCAGGAGCGUCUGAAGGUGAUGCGGUGUUUUCCCAAAAGGCCCUCAGCAUUUCCCUGACUCUGAUUUCCGGAGUCGCGCGUCUUGCGAGCCUUGUCAACUUCCUCGUGUUCCUCAGGAAAGGUCAACACCCAGUCUUAGCUGAACGGCUCAUCGGAGCUCAGGCGGUUUUUAGCAAGCCCAACGUGACGCGGGACAUUACAUACCAGUACAUGAAUCGCGAGCUGCUGUGGCACGGCUUUGCAGAGUUCCUCAUUUUCCUUUUGCCGCUCAUCAACACAAGGAAACUGAAAGCAACCAUGUAUUCCUUUCUACUCCGGGGGGACGGAAGUGGCGUGGCGGGUACACGGGAUAGGGAUGGGGUGUUGAAAGAGUGCGGCCUGUGCGGAGAGUGGCCUACCAUGCCUCACAGGGUAGGGUGUCAACAUGUUUUCUGCUACUACUGUAUCAAAAGUCAUAGUAUUGCAAACAAUUGCAUCACCUGUCCCAAAUGUGGGGCGGAGGCAAGACAAGCGGAGCCAGUCAAGAUGGAGGUAGAAAUGCUUGUCAGGCACUAGAUUGGAGGAAAUUACUUGCAAGUCCAUAUUUUCAUAUUGGUGGAAAUGCAAUACAGUUCAAUAAGAAUCUUUGAUUAACACUGUAUUUGACGAUGACGUCCUUUCCGAACACGCAUCGACCAGCUAUGUUUAAUGUAUGUGCACAUAUAUUGACAGUCCUCUGCCCCUUCUGUAUCUCUGACUGGACUUCGCACAGAACUAUUUGUCUUUGGCGCACCGGACAGACUACCAAGAACCACACAGAGCAUAUAUUUGAUGAAAGAACGUGUUGAUUUAUGCUCCAAAUGCUCUCUCGCAGUGCGUGUUUGUUGAAAUGGGAAUAUUUGUUCUGAUGAAAAAUGCAGAAAAUCAGCUGAAUAAAUAAUGGGAGGAAUUUCUGAUGCCUCUCAUCACGACCAAAUUAGCAUUUGUUGUGUAUUUUGUUCCUAAAUUGUAUUUCAACAUCAUUAAAAUUGAUUUCGGGCUUUCUCCUGAGUGUUUAUUCAGUUAAGUGGAGGAGGGAGAUGAGGGAAAGUUAUAACAAUCAGCACACUUCUCUCUAGACAGGCCUGGUCGUUCUAACUCCCAUUAUCCGUUUUCACAGCACCCCAACAUCCUCGAGAUCAAGGGGGCAGCCGGGGGCUUGGAUUGACUCUCACACUCACACACUUGACAGCCAGCCUCUCUUUUCCCUUGGCCCUUCUCUCUUUUGCUUGCCUUUCCAUCCCACCCCCUCGUAAUCUCCAGGGCCCUUGCCCCCAUAAGACUGUCGUAAACUGUACCAAAACCCUGGCAGUCGUCUUCUUCCUCGCAGGCGAAUUACUCUCUAAUCCCUGUAAUGAGUCCAAAGAUGCUUAUUUAUGCUGGAGUUAACCUCCACCAGUGAGCCCAGCCCCGGGCGAAACGCACCCCAGCUGAGUGAAGCCUUUCCUGGUUGACAAGAGAGGAGUAGGAUGGUGGUGGAGGUGGUGGUGGUGCUGGGUUGGGAGGGGUAUUACUUCCUCCCACCACUCCUCCCCCUUCCUCCUGUCUUCCACUCUGAUCACUGGGGCUUAAUUGCUGAUUGCUGAGAUGUCAAAGCAGACGAUAAGAAGCCUGCUGCUGGAAGUUGUCUCUGAUCAACAUGAUCUUAAGACUUUUAGUAGAAUAAAUGAAGCGCUAUUACUUUUAGAAAUUAGCUACUUUCUCGCAAAGCUGCACACUCCAAAAACCACAUACAGUAAAUCCCUCGUUUAUCCCAGUUAAUUGGUUCCACACCCGAUCGUGAUAAGCGAAUUUCCGCAAAGUGGGAUCCGUUAUUCAUAAAUGGAAUAUUUUGGAAGUUAGAGCACAUAAACCCUGUUUACGACCUUCUGUAUACGGUUUUUAACAUUGUUUGAGCUUUCUGGACAUGAAAAAACUAGGGGUGUCUUGGAGUAGACACACAGUAUACGUUGACAGUUCAUAGGGUUAAAAACGAUACUUCAUAUACAAUUAACAACUAUUUCAUAAUAGAGACAGUUUGACGCUGGAAGGGAUCACUUUGUAUGGGAAAAUGACAACAGAAAUUGGAGGUACCCUUCCACCCUCAUCAGCGCGCUGGGGAGGAAUUUUGGCCCACUCAUCUUUGCAGAAUUGUUGUCAUUCAGCCACAUUGGAGGGUUUUCCAGCAUGAAGCGCCUUUUUAAGACAUUCAAGGUGGACUUGCUGGUGUGUCCUGCUGCAGAACCCAAGAUGGUUUCAGCUUGAGGUCACGGACAUUCUCCUUCAGGAUUUGUUGGGAGACAGCAGAAUUCAUGGUUCCAUUUAUCACAGCAAGUCUUCCUGGUCCUGAAACAGCCCCAGACCAUCACACUACCACCACCAUAUUUUACUGUUGGGAUGAUGCUCUUUUUCAGAAAUUCGGUAUUACCUGAUGUAAUGGGACACACACCUUCCAAAAAGUUCAACUUUUGUCUCGUCAGACCACAGAGUAUUUUCCCAAAGGUCUUGGGCAUCAUCAUGUUUUCUGGCAAACUUGAGACGAGCCUUAAUGUUCUUUUGUUCAGCAGUGGUUUUGUUCUUGGAUCUCUGCCAUGCAGGCCCUUUUUGCCCCUUAUUUUGUCUUUCUUAUGGUGGAGUCAUGAACAUUGACCUUAACUGAGGCAAGUGACGGCUGCAGUUUUUUGGAUGUUGUUGUGGGGUCUUUUGUGACCUCUUGGAUGAGUCGUCGCUGCGCUCUUGGGGUCAUUUUGGUUGGCCGUACAGAUGAUUUCUCACGGAAUAAAUUGUUUUCAGUCUAAAUUUGAGAUCGACCAGCAUCCUGGUUUGUGUUCUUUGACCUUAGAGCGCCCAUUGAGGCCCCUUAUUAGAUUUGAGGAUAAUACUCACCUUAAAAUGAGGCUUACAAAAGUAGAUGAUUAGUUUGACAUUAUGGAUCUAAAAACCCUCAUCCUGUGGACACUUGGAAGUCCUCUCGCUUUCUCCCCCGUCAUCAAGGACAUUUUGACUAAUGAAGCCUGUGGUAAUGCACAUAAAGCCCAAGACAGAAGCGGCCGGUUGUCAAUAUUUUAUGCACUACAUUACAUUCAUGUACUUGGAGUCCCAGAAAGAGAGAUGAGGGAUGCAUCUAUGAUCACCGUUAAUGCCACUGGGACAUGUCAUUGUCUUAACAUUCAAUGAGACUUACACCAUAAACCUUUUUUGCAGAUAUUAUUCUACAACUCUAAUGGAGGUCCCCCCUCCCCAGUCUCUAGGAAAGAGGAAAGAUAAAGACAAAGGAGUACAUUAAAGUCGAUUUAAUUGAGUGAGAUCACGGAUUGAAUUAGCCGAGUUGGAACAAGGCCCUGGACUCGAGGUGGGUAGCGAAGGCCCCGUUAAGCCUAUCUGUCUUUGGAUCUCUUCCAAUUCACAGCAAAAGAGGAAGAAGCCCCCCCCCUUGUUCCCAGCGGCUAUGCAAAGCAAUCUGCACAUUCACACAUAGCCAUUUAGGGAGCAAAUUGGCCAUGUGCCCCCCACUGACGAAGGUUUUAAGAGAAAGGGAAUUAGGGCAUUGAAUCCCUAACU